CGUAGGUGGCAAGCGUUGUCCGGAUUUAUUGGGUUUAAAGGGUGCGUAGGCGGCCCUGUAAGUCAGUGGUGAAAUAUCUCAGCUUAACUGAGAGGGUGCCAUUGAUACUGCGGGGCUUGAGUACAGACGAGGUAGGCGGAAUUGACGGUGUAGCGGUGAAACGCAUAGAUAUCGUCAAGAACUCCGAUAGCGAAGGCAGCUUACUAAGCUGUAACUGACGCUGAGGCACGAAAGUGUGGGGAUCAAACAGGAUUAGAUACCCUGGUAGUCCACACUGUAAACGUUGAUGACUCGAUGUUGGCGAUACGCAGCCAGCGUCCAAGAGCAAUCGUUAAGUCAUCCACCUGGGGAGUACGCCGGCAACGGUG
rnacentral:rRNA from 1 species